UUGGAGGGCAAGUCUGGUGCCAGCAGCCGCGGUAAUUCCAGCUCCAAUAGCGUAUAUUAAAGUUGUUGCAGUUAAAAAGCUCGUAGUUGAAUUUCGGGGUUAGUAGGUUGGUCAUGCCUCUGGUAUGCACUGGCCUCACUGAUUCCUCCUUCCUGAUGAGCCGUAAUGCCAUUAAUUUGGUGUUGCGGGGAAUUUGGACUGUUACUUUGAAAAAAUUAGAGUGUUUAAAGCAAGCUAACGCUUGAAUACAUUAGCAUGGAAUAAUGAAAUAGGACGUUCGAUCCUAUUUUGUUGGUUUCUAGGAUUGACGUAAUGAUUAAUAGGGAUAGUUGGGGGCAUUAGUAUUCAAUUGUCAGAGGUGAAAUUCUUGGAUUUAUUGAAGACUAACUACUGCGAAAGCAUUUGCCAAGGAUGUUUUCAUUAAUCAAGAACGAAAGUUAGGGGAUCGAAGACGAUCAGAUACCGUCGUAGUCUUAACCAUAAACUAUGCCGACUAGGGAUCGGAUGAUGUUAAUUUUUUAAUGACUCAUUCGGCGCCUUACGGGAAAC
rnacentral:rRNA from 1 species